UUUUCCAUAUGCAGUCAGCUCUGAUCUACCACGGUGCAGGAUAACCUAUUCUCAGCACUUUCACAUAGACCUUUUACAAUGAGUUCUUUUUCAGUAUUCUCUUAUGAGCAGAAAAACUUUCAAUAAUCUUUGAGAGGAAAGGAAGCCAACCCAGAAGUUUCUAACCAGUUCAAUGUGCCUUUUAUAUAAUUUCCAGAAGUACCAGGAGUUCUUUUUUGCUGCUCAGUGUCACUGGUUCUCAGGAGAACAAGGUGAAGUCUUCAUGAAGUACAAUGAUUAAAUCUUUGGUUCUAUCAGAAAUGCAUUUGAAGACAUUAACCCAUGGCUGUGAAAUGCAGAUGAAAAUCCAAUCUUGAUUGAAUCAUAUGCUCUUAGAUGACUAUAAUGACCAGGUUUGCAAAUCCAUUCUAUGUCCUGACUCUUUCCUGACCUGGUUUGGAAACUUUGUGUAAAGUGGCGCUUUAUCUCUUAUUAAUUCCAAAGAUGACAGACACAGGAUUUCAUUGUCUAGUUAGUGGAAGCUGCGUUCUCUGAUUAGCUGCCUUGCCCUUUUUGAAGCUUUGAUUUAUUGGGGCAGAGCAAGCACUGGCUUUUGUGUGUACUGAAAGGAAACUAGGGUAAGGAAUAAUUUAUGGUUCUCUCUUUGCAGCUGGAAAAAAAAUAAAGGUUAUUUUCAUUAUAUCGCUAUAGGAACU
rnacentral:lncRNA from 1 species